rnacentral:rRNA from 1 species
AUUGAACGCUGGCGGCAUGCCUUACACAUGCAAGUCGAACGGCAGCACGGGUGCUUGCACCUGGUGGCGAGUGGCGAACGGGUGAGUAAUACAUCGGAACGUACCUUAUCAUGGGAUAACGCAGCGAAAGCUGUGCUAAUACCGCAUACGCCCUGAGGGGGAAAGCGGGGGAUCGAAAGACCUCGCGCGAUUCGAGCGGCCGAUGCCUGAUUAGCUUGUUGGUGGGGUAAAAGCCCACCAAGGCGACGAUCAGUAGCUGGUCUGAGAGGACGAUCAGCCACACUGGGACUGAGACACGGCCCAGACUCCUACGGGAGGCAGCAGUGGGGAAUUUUGGACAAUGGGGGCAACCCUGAUCCAGCAAUGCCGCGUGAGUGAAGAAGGCCUUCGGGUUGUAAAGCUCUUUUGUCAGGGAAGAAACACCGGCUCUAACACAGUCCGGGAAUGACGGUACCUGAAGAAUAAGCACCGGCUAACUACGUGCCAGCCGCCGCCGUAA